GAACCGGAGCAGGAAUGCGUUUCUAUCUUGGAAAUUCAAUCAGCAUUUCACCUUAAAGAAAGAACCGGGAGAACAAAAUAUAACUGUGCACUGCAGUGCGACG